AUGCAGCGGGAUUCCUCCGCCGGCCUCCCCGCGGGCCCGGGACGCGCCGCCCCGAACCCCAGCACCUCGGGGCCCGCGCGGCUCACCGGCGCCCCCGCCCCUCCCGGCGCCGCCCCGACGUGGCCCCGACCCCGGGGAGGGAGAGGCGGGCGGGGACCCGGGACCCGGGCCUCGGGGCGGGAGGCAGCAGUCCCGGGGCCGCCGCCCUCCCCCGGGGACGCCGUCCCGCCGCCGCUUCCUGCCCGGCUCAGCGCCCCGGCCGCGGCCUCGGGGACACUCCGGGCGGCCCGCGCUCCGCGGGGACCAGCCGCUCCGCCCGGACCCCCGGACCCCGGGACCCCCGACCCCCCCAGCCCCCCCAGCCCCGCGGCGCCCCCAGGACUCCGACCCCCGGCCCCCGCCCGCAGCCCCGCAGCCCCGCAGCCCCGCGAGCCGCCUCACCGCGCUCCGCGCCGCCGGGGCUCGCUCCCGCGGGGCCGCUCCCGCUCCAGCCGCAGCCUCGGGGCCGCCGCGCCGCCUCCUCCGCCGCCGCGUUUCAAAUUGAAAUUCCCUGGCUCCGGCCGUCAGAGCCCCGGCGCCCGCCCCGCCCCUCGCGGCGGAAGCCCCGCCUGCGCCCCCGGACGCGCCCCCAGCGCGGAAACCCCCGCGGCCGCGCCACGCCCCGGCCACGCCCCGGCCACCCCCCUCCGGCCGCGCCGUGCCCCCUGUGGCCACGCCCCUCCGGCCGCGCCACGCCCCGGCCACGCCCCUCGGGUCGAGCCACGGCCCUCUGGCCACGCCCCCUCGACAGCGCCACGCCCCUAUGGUCACGCCCCCUCCGGCCGCGCACGGCCCUCUGGCCACGCCCCCCUCGACAGCGCCACGGCCCUAUGGUCCCGCCCCUUAGGCCACGCCCCCAGGGGCGGGACUUGCCGCGGGAUUCGCCGCCCCGGCCGCCGGGCACCCGCGGCUGCAAGGAUGCGCUCCCCGACCGCGAACCCCGCCCGUAAAUCCCGUUUCACCAACUUUGCAAACUGCUUUCCUCGGACUGCGAGAGGCCUAAGCCGUCACUGA
rnacentral:lncRNA from 1 species